rnacentral:lncRNA from 10 species
AAGCUAAUGUGACACAUUUGCAAGCAUAGCUGCACAUGUUCUGGUUUAAUUGGGAAAUCUCUCCUUUGACUUUCAGGAUAGCACAGAAGCAGAGACUUUAAGUCUAAACAGACCUAGAUUCAGAGCCGACCCGAUGCUGCUUGAAGAAGGCUGGAGGUUAUUCAUGUUAGGCUCCUGAAAACACCACAAGGACCUACCCUCCGGGAGCCAGCCAGAGAACCCUUCUUCCUGCACUGUCUCCGUUAUGCCCAACAUUUCUGGGCAUAAGUUUUAAUAAACCUUACCUGGGAAAAGUUUGUUUGGCCUCGUGUUAAUUGCUAUUAUAUGGAGAGCCAAGAAUCUCGAACCAGUAAGAGUUGUGAAGUCACCCUCAAUAUUUCCCAAGUCUUCAAAGGAAUUGAGACACUAUAAUCAUUACCCAGGACUCCACGCUUGUCAAAUUUGUUGAUGACCUCCUACUUUGCAACCAAACUGAAUAGAAUGCUUGUAUAGACUCCCUAAUCCUUCUGAAGGUACUGACUGAGCAAGGCUACAAAGCCUCCAAAUCUAAAUGU